rnacentral:rRNA from 1 species
UACGAAGGGGGCUAGCGUUGUUCGGAAUCACUGGGCGUAAAGCGCACGUAGGCGGCUCUUUAAGUCAGGGGUGAAAUCCCGGGGCUCAACCUCGGAACUGCCUUUGAUACUGGGGAUCUCGAGUCCGGGAGAGGUGAGUGGAAUUGCGAGUGUAGAGGUGAAAUUCGUAGAUAUUCGCAAGAACACCAGUGGCGAAGGCGGCUCACUGGCCCGGUACUGACGCUGAGGUGCGAAAGCGUGGGGAGCAAACGGG